rnacentral:lncRNA from 1 species
UGUAUUUCGAUUCGUUUGGAUGGAUUAGGCUUGCAUGCCAUUUACUCAGGUCUAUGCUCAAUGAUCAUUUGUUAGUCCUUAAUCCGACUACCGUGUACGUAAUAGUAUUUCUCGCUGCUAUUGUUCUACAAAUCAUUCAGAUACUCUUAAUUACACACUGUAGUCGCAUUGUUUGAUGUAGCAUUGAUAUACUCUGUAUUUGUAAGUUACAUAUAGUCAGCAGCAAAAUUAUGUGAGAUACAUUAUGCCGGCAUAGGACAAUACUUAAGUCUCCCGUCAUCAUUAUCUUGUUCAUUGCAUACUCCGAUCUACUCAGCAGCUUCUAGCACUGAUGCAUUCCACCAUUUUAGUGACUGUUAAUCGGAGAGUGCAAUGCCAACAAAAUCCUAUUUAUGCAUUUAUGUAAGUCGCGAUUUUUAUCAGUAUUGACCCUGCACUUUAUAGUAUGCUUGUGCAGAUGUCCCCUAAAUCUGAAGCUCGUGGCAUCUCCUCUGGGUCAGAAGAUGAUGACAGUCCAUAUGAAAAUCCCAACUCAGUCUUAGCGUCUAGGUGUUCCAGAUCAUCCAACAAGGCAGUCAGCCUCACAUACUCUCACUCCAAAGCAAGUAAUGACAGCAAGAAGAGGAAAGGAGAUGUGCGUCAUGAUGUUUUUUCUCCGAGCCCGGCACUGAAGAUUAGCCAGCCCGACAGCAAGGAGGUGGCCAAGAAUUCCAUCAAGUCCUGGGGUGCUUCCUGAAAUAAAGAGAAUGGGUCGUCCAGUCGAUGUUGGUUAUUGGCACGACCUCAUGCUAAUCAGAAAUUUUGUGGUCAGGCUUGAUGAUGAAAAUUGGCUUACCCAACUCUUCACAUACCAUAUCAUAUUGCCAAACAUCUGAAAUGCAAGAUGCACUACAGCAUGAAGCUCAGGAUUUGGCCAACAUGUUGUUACAAUAUACUCCCUCCUUCCCAAAAUAUAGGGCGUAUUAGCUUUUUCGUGCAAUCCCAUAAUAUUAGGCGCUGACUACUUCCUCUCUCUCUUGUACAAUUAAGAAUCCCUAUUUUUCUGGAAAUAAAACAAAUCACGUCUGAUGGAUCUCUCAGGCUGUUAGCUCAUGUAAAAAAAUGUACGACGGCUCACGUAAUAAACUAACGAUAGACUUG